rnacentral:rRNA from 1 species
GACGAGCGCUGGCGGCGUGCUUAACACAUGCAAGUCGAGCGAUGAAGUUUUUUCGGAAAUGGAUUAGCGGCGAACGGGUGAGGAACACGUGAAGAAUCUGCCCUCCACUUUGGGAUAACACAGGGAAACCUGUGCUAAUACCGAAUAUUGAAACAUAAGUGGCAUCACUGAGUUUUGAAAGAAUUUCUGUGGAGGAUGACUUCGCGGCCUAUCAGCUAGUUGGUGAGGUAAUGGCUCACCAAGGAAACGACGGGUAGCCGGCCUGAGAGGGCGACCGGCCACACUGGGACUGAGACACGGCCCAGACUCCUACGGGAGGCAGCAGUGGGGAAUAUUGGGCAAUGGAGGAAACUCUGACCCAGCGACGCCGCGUGCGGGAUGAAGGCCUUCGGGUUGUAACCGCUUUCAGUAGGGAAGAAGCGAAAGUGACGGUACCUACAAAAGAAGCAACGGCUAACUAUGUGCCAGCCGCCGCGGUAA